CAGAGCAUUCUUUUUUCGCAUCGCUUAUUUCACUUUCUUAUCCGGCCUUUAACACGGGAAAUAUCAUUUCAGUGGAUGUUUGCGCGGUCAGCUUCGUGGUUCACUGGUAAAUGUUAACAUGUAGACAGAUUUGUUGAUGGAUGUUGCAGGUGUGCAGCCUGAAGACCGAGUUGUAUCAAGUGAAGGAAAAAAGAAUGCAAAUAUCCCUGUGUCAAAAGGCAUGGAGCCCGUGGACAGAGAUGUAUCAAAUGAAGGAAAAAAGGAUGCAGAUGGUCGUGUGUCAAAAGGUACAAAUGAAAAGUUUUAUUAUCCGACCGUGUUUCGUAGAAAAUAAAUAACGCCCAAAACGAGGACAAAUAUCUCACGGUCUUUGUACUCCGCUGAACAGGUUAGACAUGUUUUCUCGCAUCGCACAAACUAUGAAUUGGAUUCAAGUUACGAAAAAAUAUGGCAGACAGUGUAAAUUAUUUUUCUGACGACGAACAGCUGGAAUGGCUGGUAAAUAUUGAUCCAGGUUUAUUAGAUGAAUCGAACGAAGAA